GGAAAAUGACUAUGGAGUCUGUUUAGUGCUUUGUUUUGUGGGUCCAUGGGAGCAGGAGUUGUCUCGCUUUCUGCUGAGUCCUCUGCGUCCCCUUCUUGCAGUCAGAGCCCCACAGUUGACGUGUGCUCUUACCGCUGGACUGAAUUUCCCAGCUUCUGCCGCAGGUCUGUGAGGCCAUGUGACCUGAGAAGCAGUGAAGGUGGCAGAAGUGGGAUCCACCACAUCCAAGCUCAGGCCAUGAAACUGCCUGUGGCAUCCUCCACACUCUUGCUCUUCUCUCUCCUGCUGGUCAGACAUGGAUGAUCCAGUGGAGGCCUCCAAGGCCCUAGGGGAUGGCAGAACCGCUCGAUAGCAGAUGCUUGGGGCCCUGGAGGACUGCAUGGAUCAAAGCCCCCUCCAACCAACCUUGAUUGUGAAAUGAUGAUGAAAUAAACCUUCAUUAUGGUGUGUCACCGAGAGUUUGAGAUUGUUUGUUAUAGCACUUCAUCUACUCUGAUUAACACAAAAUCUGUUGAAGAGAAAAAAACACAGUAAACUCAGAUGUUUAGUGAUGUUUUCGAUAGCAUUCAUGGGGAAGGAAAAAUGCAACUUGAUUUCCAGACAGCUUAGAAAAAUUCAAAGGGAGAAAGAUUUCCUCUGGGUCAUUUUCACAAAGAAGGAACUCGGCCUGAGCUGAGCCAGAGGGAGUGAGUCACAGUGAAGACCACUGGCUUAUUAAUGGUACCAGGAAGCCUGAAUCCAGUGAAUGUGUCUGGCACUAGGGAUGUGUAUCCAUUAUGACUGAGUUCAGCUCUAUUUAAAAGGAAAACUAAUGACUGAGGCUUAAACAACAUGAGUGUUUAUUUUUCUCUCAAGCUUCAAGUUACAUAGUCCAAGGAUUUAUCAGCUCCAUGGUGACAUCAGGCUUUUUCUAGUUUUUCAAUCCAGAGCCCUUUUUAGAGUGUGGCCUUCAUUUUGUGUUCACAGCUACUAGAGUCCCAGCUGUCAUGUUGACAUUUUGGGGAGAGUACAGGAGGAGAAGUGGAGUGCAUAGGUAUGCACACUGGCUCUGGGGUGCCUGGGAUGCUCUGGCGGCACUCCCUUGGCCAUCUUCACUCCAGCCAGCCAUGUCCAUAGAUCCACACACGUGGUAAGCAUCACACACCAGCCACACCAUGAUGCCUCUUUGCUUUGCUGGAGCCACAGAAGACCACCCAACCACAUGAAAGAACAAUCAGUUAGUAUGGGGGAGCUAAGAACCCAAGGGAGAUCCCAAGCAAUGGGGAACUAGGCAGCCCAGCCUCGUAGUCCUCCACUGAGACGAUCGUGAGGCAUGGUCCACUGUGUGCAGGGUCCCACGGCAGACUGAGGUACUCACUGGCAACUGGCCUAUUAAUGCCUCCUUCACUGCUUUCCUCUCUUCCUUUUUUCCCUCUCCCCCAUUUCUGUUACCUGGGAUGAACUCCAAGAUAAACCACCUGCACCCAAGUUC
rnacentral:lncRNA from 10 species